GGCCGAAUGGCCUACUCCUGCACCUAUUUUCUAUGUUUCUAUGUUUUGUGUAUUGUUCAAGAGCCUAUGUACUUUCCCGACUCUAGCGUUCAAUCUAUUAACUUUCUCGUGUAAAAUGCUCAGACUGAAACUUUAGAACAACCAACAGAGGCACUGAACCCCAAAAUACUCACCUGCAUCCAAAUCAUAGUUUGUGUAAGAAAGAACUACAGAUGCUGGUUAAAAUUGA